CCUACGGGAGGCAGCAGUGAGGAAUAUUGGUCAAUGGACGAGAGUCUGAACCAGCCAAGUAGCGUGAAGGAUGACUGCCCUAUGGGUUGUAAACUUCUUUUAUCAAGGAAUAAAACGAGGCACGUGUGCCUUUUUGCAUGUACUUUAUGAAUAAAGCUCGGCUAACUCCGUGCCAGCAGCCGCGGUAAUACGGAGGAUCCGAGCGGUAUCCGGAAUUAUUGGGUUUAAAGGGAGCGUAGAUGGGUCGUUAAGUCAGUUGUGAAAGGUUGCGGCUCAACCGUAACAGUGCCAUUGAUACUGGCAGUCUUGAGUACAGUAGAGGUAGGCGGAAUGCGUGGUGUAGCGGUGAAAUGCUUAGAUAUCACGAAGAACCCCGAUUGCGAAGGCAGCGUACUAACCGGUGACUGACAUUGAUGCUCGAAAGUGUGGGUAUCGAACAGGAUUAGAUACCCGAGUAGUC
rnacentral:rRNA from 1 species